GGGGGCGACUUGGUUUCGACGUGGGUUGCAAAGCAGACGAGGGCAUGCCGGGAUCUCAGAACCCCGUAAAACGCUGAACUAAAUUAGUCGCAAACGACGAAACUUACGCCCUAGCAGCUUAAUAACCUGCGUUCGGCCGUUGCACUGAUUCUCUGACGGGUCAGAGUGGGGCAACCCACAGCAGCGUCAUUUACGUCAGAUCGUGUUGGUAUGGGUAACUUAUAUUGACACUAAACUUAAGGUUACUCGCUGUAGCAAGGCCUGCCGGUUGGCAUAGCUGCGGUUAAACUCAAAUAAAUUUGGCUAAGCAUGUAGAACUUGCUGUAGAGGGCUUGCGGACGCGGGUUCAAUUCCCGCCGCCUCCACCA
rnacentral:tmRNA from 1 species